rnacentral:rRNA from 1 species
GACGAACGCUGGCGGCAUGCCUAACACAUGCAAGUCGAACGAAGCCUUCGGGCUUAGUGGCGCACGGGUGCGUAACGCGUGGGAAUCUGCCCUUUGGUUCGGAAUAACAGUUGGAAACGACUGCUAAUACCGGAUGAUGACGAAAGUCCAAAGAUUUAUCGCCAGAGGAUGAGCCCGCGUAGGAUUAGCUAGUUGGUGUGGUAAAGGCGCACCAAGGCGACGAUCCUUAGCUGGUCUGAGAGGAUGAUCAGCCACACUGGGACUGAGACACGGACCAGACUCCUACGGGAGGCAGCAGUGGGGAGUAUUGGACAAUGGGCGAAAGCCUGAUCCAGCAAUGCCGCGUGAGUGAUGAAGGCCCUAGGGUUGUAAAGCUCUUUUACCCGGGAUGAUAAUGACAGUACCGGGAGAAUAAGCCCCGGCUAACUCCGUGCCAGCCGCCGCCGUAA